CCAAACCCUACAUCCAUAGCACAGUCAAAUUCUCUCUCUCUCUCUCGUAGAAGCAUACAGCAAUCUCAGUAAUGAGGAAAGUUAGAUCUCUAACAGUAUCCCAUGCCAGUCCAAAGUUCUUCCUCUGUUCAUCAGCCAUGGCUCUAUUAAUUAUUAGGAGUAUCUUUUCUUUUUCUUUCCUUUUUUAUUUUUUGAUACCUUUCAAUUAUCAUUUCUUAAUUUGUACGGAUAUUUUCCUUCAUUUCACGAGUCCAACAGUGUGCAGUGCCUUUCAUUUGAUCUAUACACAUACGUGGAUCCAGAAUUUCAAGUUUAUAGUCUUUAAACUCAUAACUUUUUACGAUUAUUGGGUUAGGAAUAGAUUAUUUAAGUAAAUUUCUUAACACAAAUAUAAAGUUUGAGCCAAAAUUACUAAGUUCUUCCAAGCCUCUAACGUAUAUGGUAGAUCUGUCCAUGUCAAUGCUUUAACUUUCGUGAUCUUGUUAAUUGUGUCAAAUACCCUUUUAUUAAUCUGCAAUCUUAGCAUAUAACUGUGAAGAACAGUACAAAGAUAUAUAGCCCUUAACCUAUCUUCAUAUAUAGCUCCUCCUCAAGAUCUGCCUUCUUUUUUGCUUUCUUUACUUGAUUGUUCUUUUUACCAAUUCAUUUUUAGGGUUUCCUAGUUUUUCCUGCGAAUCUUCAUUUACUUAAAUCUUUUCGUUGAAAAAUUAAACUUGGCGGAAUCUUUGGUACACAACAAGUACGAUAUUUAAAUCGUGAUUUUUUGGUCUCCGGUCAGAAUGAUAUUCCGAUCUCGGCAUCAUGAGCUUUUGUUCAUUCAUCUCCUGAUAUACACAGUCGUCGUUUGCAAAUGCAACACCUUCAAGAUUUACAUAUAUUUGUCAUUAAAAUCAUAUGUGAAUCUUGAUGAUGCUGCAUUAGCAAUAAACGACUAAGCGUCCACUGAUUACAACAACAACAAUAAAUCUAGUGAAAUUCCACAAGGGAUCUGGAAAGGAUAGUGUAUACGUAGACGUAAAGUUAUUUCUGGUAGACUCUCGGCUCAAAAAAAGUAUAAUCUAGCGCUCAUGAAUAAGCGUCUACAGAUUGCUUCUCCAAUUCGUAUCAUGGUUGUCAAGUACUUAAGCAAGAUCAUGAAUAUCAAAUUGACUUAAGUCAACAUUAGAGAGAUAUGUAAAGCAUGAAGGUUGUCACUAAAUCAAGAAGCAGGAAUAUGAAUCAAAAAAUGCUCAAGCAACAGUCGGACAAGGGGGAAUGUUGGGUGAGCCAGAAAAAUUUGGAUAGAACUGGCAAAUCUAAGUGUUAGUUAGGGAAGAGUCAUGUAUUAAGAGGAGUAGUUAUGAAUUCUGUAGAUCAUCUGCCGGUAAAGGGAGAGCCCCAAUUAGUAGAAAAAAGCUCACAAUUCUCUGAGGUCUGGUUGAUACAAUAAAUAAGGUAAAGCCUGAAGGCAUGUAGUGGUUCUUGUAAGCAAACUAUUUGGCUUUUUGAGUAUAAAUGUGGAUUGUUUUGUGAU